AAUUUUGGUAAAUGGGGGAAACCCUGAUCCCGCCAUCCCGCGAGUAUGAUGAAGGCCNNNGGGUUNUCAAGUAUUUUUGGCAGNGACNAAAACGUAUCUCCUACUACGAACAACUUCUGUCGGUAUCUGCUGAUUAAGCUCCGGCUAACGCCGAGUCCGCAGCCGCGCUAAUACGUAGGGUGCAAGCGUUAAUCGGAAUUCUUGGGCGUAAAGCGUGUGUAGGCGGUUCGGAAAGAAAGAUGUGAAAUCCCAGGGCUCAACCUUGGAACUGCAUUUUUAACUGCCGAGCUAGAGUAUGUCAGAGGGGGGUAGAAUUCCACGUGUAGCAGUGAAAUGCGUAGAUAUGUGGAGGAAUACCGAUGGCGAAGGCAGCCCCCUGGGAUAAUACUGACGCUCAGACACGAAAGCGUGGGGAGCAAACA
rnacentral:rRNA from 1 species